rnacentral:rRNA from 1 species
CUUUUGGUUGCAUGUGCUCGCUUCUAACAAUCUUUAUCUCAAACACUUGUGCACCUUUUGAGGGGGGUUAAGAUGACUGACUGUCCAUGAUGAGUGACCUUAAUGUGGUGAAGAAAAAUAUCGGUACUGACAGGAUUUGAACCUGCGCGCUCGAAGAGCAAUUGAUGGGCUUGAACGGGUUCAAGUCAAUCUCCGUAACCACUUGGAUACAGUACCGGAACAUCGGAUCCACUCACACAUCCUGCCUUUUCCGCAAGGGAAAGAAAGUAUGGUUGUUGCAUUACUUCCCCCCUCAUUCUCUAAUAUACACUGUUUUCAAUAUUGAACGUGAAUUGUGCCGUGAAGGCCUAUAAUAAUAUACAACUUUUAACAACGGAUCUCUUGGCUCUCGCAUCGAUGAAGAACGCAGCAAAAUGCGAUAAGUAAUGUGAAUUGCAGAAUUCAGUGAAUCAUCGAAUCUUUGAACGCACCUUGCGCUCCUUGGUAUUCCGAGGAGCACGCCUGUUCGAGUGUCGUGAAGUUCUCAGGCUUUGAUGCUUUUUUGUUUGACGGAAAAGCUCUUAGCUUGGUUAUUGGGCUUUGCCGUGUCCUUCAUUGGGAACGGGCUGGCCUUAAAAACAUUAGCUUUGAUCCCUUGUGUGGAUUUGGUUCUACUCGGCGUGAUAAUAAUCUGACCGCUGAGGACAUCUUUCGGGGUGGCCAGUUCUCCUUGGGGUUGCUCUCUAAUUCUGGAUUGCAAAA